CAGUGACAACUGCACACGGAGGAGGGGGAGCAUGAGUGUUCAGUCGACAGGUGGCCAUCUUUGCCCCAGCUGGGAGCGGGCCUGAAGCAGGAAAUGCCCUGUCUCCAGCAGGUUCUAGGAACACGCUCCCACAUCUUCGCCCACGGGCUGUACAAGCAAAGGCGACGUGGGCCUCGAGCUGUAGUUUGCUGACACCUCCCCACCCUCUAAAUCCUCUGACAACCAGAAAGGACACCACUGGCACCGACGCCUUCUCCAGUCUGGGUUUUGCCUCCCAGAGGCCCGAGGCCACGCUGCUGACACCGGAGCCCCGCCUGGAUGCCUGGCUCCGGAAGACGGAGGAAGAGGCGGGGCCGGGCCCGGGCCUGCUCCCGGGUCUCCACUCAGACUGGCCACAUUGCAGUCGCUGCACACGGCAGGUGGCCCCCAAGUUGGACAGCUCAGGCCUAACCCAACCCUGAGCCCCAGCCCUUAACCCUAAAAGCUGCCUGAGUAACUACAAGGCUCUGGUUGGCUCCAGAGGAGCAUCCUGGGAGAAUUGGCCAGCAGAUGCUGGAUUCCCUCACCUGGAGGCCUGACCUCACUUGCAGACGGCCCCUCCUCCAUCUGUGCCUUGUGACUGGGCAAGGCAGCCCAGCCCACCUGUCCGUGGCUUCAAACACUAUCCCCUUCUGCUCAGAGACGCUCACAGGACGUGUGUGCGUGUGGGCGCUGGGCCUGGCCAGGUCUUUCAGCAGGAUUUCAUCAGGGUUGAGGAGGCCCCUCCCCCUGGAAGGCUGGAGCUGUGCUCUGCCUGAGGUUGCUGUUUCACGCUGGAACCACUCGUGGGCAACAGAAAGCCAGCCUGAGCCAACUGACCACAGAGCCAGAAAGUCACCUGGGUGACCAGCUGGUGCAGCCUGCUCAUGGUACAGGUGGGCAAACCGAGGGCCAGGGUGGAAGGAGGAAGUGAAUGUGAUCCAGGGUCAGUCCAUGUGAGUUUCCCAUUCCUAACUCUCUGAUGCCGAGCCUGCUCAGGCGCUUUACGAGCUUGGCGAGGCUCCUGGCUGGCGAGUGGCCGAGCGGGUAUUCCAGCCCGAGGACAGUGAUGGAGACGUGUCAUCUGAAGGGGCUCAUCUUCCCUCAGCUUCUCCAUCCUUCCUUCCUUUGUUUGAUGGAGCUUGGGGACAGGAAGGGAGGUUUCAGGGAGUGAGCUGGGCAACAUAGCAGGAGUAAGUCUUGGGCCAGUAAUUCAGGUAAGUGAGAAACAGAAAUGAAUUUUCCUAUCGUUCCACUGACUGUCCAUCUUAGCCCCCCUUGGGGUGGGGAAACAGAAGAGGGCAGUGGUGCAAACUUAAUCUCAGACAGUUUGGGGUCUUCCCCUUUCCCCCAAGGGGUGGUCUCAAUUCCAUCUGGCGGCUCUCUCUACUGUUGGGGCCCUGAGAAUCACUCUGAGGCCUUGCCGGGGCCCAGAAACUUCUGUGAGGUGCCCACAGCCCUAUCUGUCUAGACAUGCCCCUCCCAGAAGUUCCCCUUCUAAGGGGGUUGCCCUUGGUGCCUGGACCCUCAGACGUACCUCAGACUCAGAGAUGCCCAGGACAUCUCAGAUUUCAUCAAUGGUUUCCAUCAUCUCUCUGCUGUGUAGCCCAGGGGCUGGGGGCUGGCUGGGUGGUGAGGGAGCCUGUCCUCUGGACUCCUGGGGACCACCACUGUGGGCUUCUCUGCUGAUGGAGGCAGGUGGCAGGGUUAUGAGCAUCCCUGAGGGUCAAGCUGGCCUUCCACUUCCACUCUUCUUGGGGAGCAGCUCACAUGCUGCUCUGACAUGGUUAGUCAACCGUGAGUCCCCAGGGCCGUGGGGGUCUGUGGCUCUGGAAGCCCCUGGGUCUCUGGUUUCCCUGAUCAAGCCCAGGGAGGAGGGGCAGUCCUGGUUUGCCCCAGACUGGAGGAGGGUGGUUCCCGGGAUGAAGGACUUUCAGUUCUAAAAGCAAGACAGUCCUGAGUAAGAUGAGCCAAGAUGAGCUGUCCCCUAUUUUUUCCCUCCCUUAGUCUGGUAUGGCUGGUCUGGGGAGGGGAUGACAGGGUCAAGGGGACUUCCCUUCUGUGUUCUAUGCUUGGGACAGUGUGCAGGCAGACCAGGCCCUGGAGGUUUAUUUGGGGGGACGAGACUCCUUGGUGAGAUCAGCUCCAGCCCUCCCAGUCCCCACCCCCCGAAAAGGAUGAAGGUUUGUUUUGGUGCCCCCGCUCCCAUCCUGGGCUGCUGCCAAGCCUGGCCUCCUGCUGAAGGUGGUCCCAGGGGCUUCUGGAUCAGUAGGGCCAGGAGGCAGAGCCCCUGGGCCCAUCCUGGCUACUCUGUGACCUUGGGCAGGUCCCUUCACAUCCCUCUGGUCCGGUCCCCUUAGCUGUGAAAUGGAGGGUUGGAUCUAUAGGGUCCGUUGAGCCCCCUCCAGCUCCCAAAACUAUUGUUUGAGCCACACAGAUGAGAACCCCGACUCUGCCCCCAUAGUUAGCCCUGCAAAGCCUAGUGGGGAGCCAGAGGCUCGAGCUGUGAGGCUUUGGGAAGGGCAGGCUGAGGACACUGCCCGCAGGUCUGGACAAACAAAAUAAAUUUGUCCCCUACCAAGAGGGCAGUGGUUAGAGCCAGGGCCCCCUAGGACUUAGACUCAUCCACUGAGUCCAACCCUCCUGACUGCCAAGAACAAACUGAGGCCCAGAGAGGGAAAGUGAGUUGCCCAGGAUAACACAGCAAGUGGGUGACCAGGUGGGCAUUAGAAGCCUGAUCUCCUGGCUCCUCCCCAGUGCUGUUUCUUCCCUUCUCAGGAUCACCAAUAUCACUAAAUGCUCUUCACAGGGAGCCUCUCCUCCUCCUGACCCCUCCUGCCCACACACCCCACCCCUCAGCUUCCUGAGCCUGCUGCACUUUGACCCUCAGAUCUGGAAGGACCCCACAGAUGUAGGGGUGUGACAGGCUGCGACUCACCUCUGAGCUGCUGGAAGGGCUGUGUUGGCACCAGUGCCCUGCUAGAGUGGGGAGCCAGGAGGUGGAGAGCGGCUGGGAAAACUGAGGUCGGGUGUAGAGCCUGCGUUCCUGGUGGGCAUGGGGUCUGAAUUGGGGUCCUUUGUUUAGCGGGGGCUUGGCUCCCAGCAGACAUUUGCAGACUCUAACACCAAAGACCUUCAAUAAUAACAAUAAUGACAAUAGUAAUAAUAAUAAACGUUUCCAUUGAACAGCUGA